GUACGCCGUGGGCCUGGGCAACGUGUGGCGAUUCCCGUACCUGUGCCAGAUGUACGGCGGAGUCAUGUAAGACGUGCCUACUUCCCCUUCACCUUCUUCCAAAAUUGCAAGUUUCCUGAGGCCUCCCCAGCCAUGCUUCCUGUACAGCCUGUGGAACUGUUGACUGGGUUUGACUCCAAAUGGGAAACUUUUGGGGGAAGACCAAGAUGGAGGCGAGUGAAUGAAGAGAAGGAAGGCGCUGGGGUGGAGAGUCUCACAGAAUAGAGCAGUGGUUCCCAAAGUGGAACCCCCAGGCCAGCAGCUUCAGCAUCCCCUGGUGUGCUCGGUGUUCCUUACAUUAAACAUUACAUUAAACAUUGUGUAUAUGCACACACAUACAC
rnacentral:lncRNA from 10 species